GUUUGUGUCCAGCUGCAGUGAAGAUAAAUAUUUUACUCUACAGUUCAUAGUUACGGGGUGAUGAUGGAAGUGCAUUUAGUUCUGCUGUUGAUCAUUUCAUCUGUUAGUGGUCAGUCUUUGACCUCCUCAGAUUCUGUUGUGAAAAAGCCUGGAGAAUCAGUGACUCUGUCCUGCACUGUUUCUGGAUUCUCAAUGAGCAGCUACUGGAUGCACUGGAUCCGUCAGAAACCAGGGAAAGCACUGGAGUGGAUUGGAUUUAUAGACGGUGGUUCAAGUGCAUAUUAUGCUCAGUCUCUACAGGGACAGUUCUCCAUCACCACAGACACCAGCAAAAACAUGCUGCAUUUAGAGGUGAAAAGCCUGAAGACUGAAGACACAGCUGUUUAUUACUCUGCUAGAGACUCACAAUCACACAAAAGACUGCAGGACUGA